rnacentral:misc_RNA from 1 species
GAAAUGCGAUAAGUAAUGUGAAUUGCAGAAUUCAGUGAAUCAUCGAAUCUUUGAACGCACCUUGCGCUCCUUGGUAUUCCUUGGAGCAUGCCUGUUUGAGUAUCAUGAAAUCUUCAAAGUAAAUCUUUUGUUAACUCAAUUGGUUUCUACUAUGGUAUUGGAGGUCUUUGCAGCUUCACACCUGCUCCUCUUUGUUCAUUAGCUGGAUCUCAGUGUUAUGCUUGGUUCCACUCGGCGUGAUAAGUUAUCUAUCGCUGAGGACACUGUAAAAGGUGGCCAAGGUAAAUGCAGAUGAACCGCUUCUAAUAGUCCAUUGACUUGGACAAUACUUUUAUGAUCUGAUCUCAAAUCAGGUAGGACUACCCGCUGAACUUAAGC